CUGACAUUGACAUGCCUGUACUAAAAUCAAGGUGUCAGCAGGACUGCAUUCCUUCCUGGAGGUUCUAGGCUCUGGAGACUAAGAUGUGAACAUCAUUGGAGUAUUCUGCCUACUACAGAGGUUAUGAAUUUAACAGAGUAUAAAGAAGGGAAAGAAUAUUCCAAGCAUGUGUUGUUCCAUGAACAACAUACAUAGAGACCCAGGGAAUGACAAGACCAAGGCAAUUAAAAAUAUGUACAGAGGCCAGUAUUCCCUGAGGUUUGAGAAAAAAGAUAAGGAUGGUGAUUUGGAGAUGGGGUCUCCAGAAGAAAUAAAUGUACAAACAAAUUAAAUGAGGUCAUAAUUUUGGCAGAAGAGAUGAAUGGAAAAAAAAGCCACCAAAGUUUUUGCAAUCUAUCCAUCUGACAAUGGUCUAAUAUCCAGAAUCUACAAGGAACUUAAACAAUUUUACAAGACAAAAAAAAACCAUCAAAAAGUGGGCAAAGGAUAUGAACAGACACUUCCCAAAAGAAGACAUUUAUGAAGCCAACAAACAUAUGAAAAAAAACUCAUCAUCACUGGUCAUUAGAGAAAUGCAAAUCAAAACCACAAUGAGAUACCACCUCACACCAGUUAGAAUGGAGAUCAUUAAAAUGUCUGGAAACAACAAAUGCUGGUGAGGAUGAGAAGAAAUAGGGACGCUUUUACACUGUUGGUGGGAGUGUAAAUUAGCUCAACCAUUGUGGAAGACAGUGUGGCGAUUCCUUAAGGAUGUAGAACCAGAAAUACCAUUUGACCCAGCAAUCCCAUUACUGGGUAUAUACCAAAAGGAUUAUAAAUCAUUCUAUAUAAAGACACACGCACACGUAUGUUUAUUCCAGCACAAUUUACAAUAGCAAAGACUUGGAACCCAUCAAUGAUAGACUGGAUACAGGAAAUGUGGCACAUAUACACCAUGGAAUACUAUGCAGCCAUAAAAAGGAAUGAGUUCAUGUCCUUUUUAGGGACAUGGAUGAAGCUGGAAACCAUCAUUCUCAGCAAACUAACACAGAAACAGAAAACCAAACACUGCAUGUUCUCAUUCAUAAGUGGGAAUUGAAAAGGAGAACACAUGAACACAGGG
rnacentral:lncRNA from 1 species